rnacentral:ncRNA from 2 species
CAACGGAAUCCCAAAAGCAGCC